rnacentral:rRNA from 1 species
ACGAAGGGGGCUAGCGUUGUUCGGAAUUACUGGGCGUAAAGCGCACGUAGGCGGAUUGGAAAGUUGAGGGAAAUCCCAGGGCUCAACCCUGGAACUGCCUUCAAAACUUCUAGUCUUGAGGUCAGGAGAGGCGAGUGGAAUACCGAGUGUAGAGGUGAAAUUCGUAGAUAUUCGGUGGAACACCAGUGGCGAAGGCGACUCGCUGGACUGAUACUGACGCUGAGGUGCGAAAGCGUGGGGAGCAAACAGG